GACGAACGCUGGCGGCGUGCUUAACACAUGCCAGUCGAACGGACAGGCCCUGCUUUUUUGGGGUGGUCGAAUGGCGAAAGGGGGGGGAAUAAGGGAGUUACCUUCCCCCGACUUUGGGAUAACCUCAGGAAACUGGGGCUAAUAACGGAGAGGAGCUCCUGCUGCGUGGUGGGGUGUGGAGGGUUUCGGCGGUUGGGGAUGGACUCGCGGCGUAUGAGCUUGUGGGUGGGGUAGUGGCUUACCGAGGCUUUGCCGGGUAGCCGGGCUGAGCGGGGGACCGGCCACAGUGGGGCUGAGAGACGGCGGAGACUGCUGCGGGAGGCAGCAGUGGGGAAGAUGGCAGAAUGGGCGGAGGCGUGAGGCAGCAGCGCCGCGUGCGGGAUGACGGCCUUCGGGUUGUAAGCCGCUUUCGCGUGUGACGAAGCGUGAGUGACGGUAAUGGGGAAAGAAGCACCGGCUAACUACGUG
rnacentral:rRNA from 1 species